UACGUAGGGUGCGAGCGUUGUCCGGAAUUACUGGGCGUAAAGAGCUCGUAGGUGGUUUUGUCGCGUUGUCCGUGAAAACUCACAGCUCAACUGUGGGCGUGCGGGCGAUACGGGCAGACUGGAGUACUGCAGGGGGAGACUGGAAUUCCUGGUGUAGCGGUGGGAAUGCGCAGAUAUCAGGGAGGGAAACACCCGGGUGGGCGAAAGGGCGGGGGUCUC
rnacentral:rRNA from 1 species